UUGAAGAAGGCCUUAUGGUUGUAAAGCACUUUAGCGAGAGGAGCUACAAGAUCAUACCCUCAGAUAGUGGACGUACUCGCAAAUAAGCACCAGGCUAACUCUGUGCCAGCAGCCGCGGUAAUACAGAGGGUGCGAGCGUUAAUCGGAUUUACUGGGCGUAAAGCGUGCGUAGGCGGCUUAUUAAGUCGGAUGUGAAAUCCCCGAGCUUAACUUGGGAAUUGCAUUCGAUACUGGUGAGCUAGAGUAUGGGAGAGGAUGGUAGAAUUCCAGGUGUAGCGGUGAAAUGCGUAGAGAUCUGGAGGAAUACCGAUGGCGAAGGCAGCCAUCUGGCCUAAUACUGACGCUGAGGUACGAAAGCAUGGGGAGCAAACAGGAUUAGAUACCCUGGUAGUCCAUGCCGUAAACGAUGUCUACUAGCCGUUGGGGCCUUUGAGGCUUUAGUGGCGCAGCUAACGCGAUAAGUAGACCGCCUGGGGAGUACGGUCGCAAGACUAAAACUCAAAUGAAUUGACGGGGGCCCGCACAAGCGGUGGAGCAUGUGGUUUAAUUCGAUGCAACGCGAAGAACCUUUA
rnacentral:rRNA from 1 species